rnacentral:rRNA from 1 species
GACGAACGCUGGCGGCGUGCUUAACACAUGCAAGUCGAACGGAAAGGCCCUGCUUUUGUGGGGUGCUCGAGUGGCGAACGGGUGAGUAACACGUGAGUAACCUGCCCUUGACUUUGGGAUAACUUCAGGAAACUGGGGCUAAUACCUGAUAGGAGCUCCUGCUGCAUGGUGGGGGUUGGAAAGUUUGGGCGGUUGGGGAUGGACUCGGGGCUUAUCAGCUUGUUGGUGGGGGAGUGGCUUACCAAGGGUUUGGAGGGUAGUCGGCCUGGGAGGGUGAUCAGCCACAUUGGGACUGAGAGACGGCCCAGAGUCCUACGGGAGGCAGCAGUGGGGAAUAUUGCACAAUGGGCGGAAGCGUGAUGCAGAAACGCUGCGUGUGGGAUGACGGCCUUCGGGUGGUAAACCGCUUUAGCUUGUGACGAAGCGUGAGUGACGGUAAUGGGUAAAGAAGCACCGGCUAACUACGUG